GGCAGCAUCAGCUGGAGGUCACAAUGGCCUAUAUCUUUCCAUCAGGUAGAUAGCAUUGGGUAUGAUCACAAUGACUCAUCUUUAUACUUCAGAUUGGUAACAUCUGCUAGAGUUUACAAUGCCAACAACAGGCACGCUCUCUCCUUCAGAGCAAUCCCUAACAUUCAACUUCAAAAAAGGAAAGAGAAAUAUAACUAUAAAACACAUUUUAAAACUAAGCAGAUAGCUCUGGAAUAGCAAGGGGAAGAUGAGAAGAUUCUACCUUCUGACAUCACUUUACUGCUGGGCAUAUCAGCACAGAAGUGGAACAGAUUAAUCACAACAGGUACUGCUCCUGGGCAAGUAAUGGCUGGAAACAUAAAGUGCUGAAAAUCCUGGCUGCAAAUUAUUGGCACGACUGCAUAUGGAAGCUUGAGUUUCACCUGUGCAAAUUAUGUCUGGCUCUGGGAAAUGCAAUUAAUCUUUUGUUUUAUGAGCCCCAAAUUUAUCAACAGCUUGGAAUCAUUAAAAAAGGGAUGUAUAUCA